rnacentral:tRNA from 1 species
GCGCAGUUAGCUCAGAGGUAGAGCAUCGCCUUCACACGGCGGGGGUCACAGGUUCAAUCCCUGUACUGCGCACCA